UCGCCUGUUUAUCAAAAACAUGGUUUCUUGAAAUUAUAUGUGAAAUCUGACCUGCCCACUGAAAAUUUUUAAAGGGCCGCAGUAUUUUGACUGUGCAAAGGUAGCAUAAUCAUUAGUCUUUUAAUUGAAGGCUGGUAUGAAUGGUUGGAUGAGGUGAAUUCUGUUUUAUGUUAAUUUUUAUUGAAUUUAGGUUUUAAGUAAAAAAACUUAAAUGUAAUUAAGGGACGAGAAGACCCUAUAGAGUUUAAUAAAUGAUGUAAUUUAAUUGAGUUAAUUAAAAAUUUUUAAUUAUUAUUAAGUUUAUUUAGUUGGGGUGAUUAAAAGAUAAAAUAAACUCUUUUUUAAUUUUAAUGAUAUAAUUAGUUAUAUGAUCCAUAAUUAAUGAUUAAAAGAUUAAAUUACCUUAGGGAUAACAGCAUAAUUUUUUUUGAGAGUUCAUAUCGAAAAAGAAGAUUGUGACCUCGAUGUUGGAUUAAGAUUAGUUUUGGGUGUAGAUGUUUAUAAACUAGGUCUGUUCGACCUUUAAAAUCUUACAUGAUCUGAGUUCAAACCGGAGA
rnacentral:rRNA from 1 species